UACGUAGGGACCAAGCGUUGUUCGGAUUUACUGGGCGUAAAGGGCGCGUAGGCGGCAAUUCAAGUCAGCUGUGAAAUCUCCGAGCUUAACUCGGAACGGUCAGCUGAUACUGUUUUGCUAGAGUGCAGAAAGGGCAACCGGAAUUCUUGGUGUAGCGGUGAAAUGCGUAGAUAUUCGCAAGAACACCAGUGGCGAAGGCGGCUCACUGGCCCGAUACUGACGCUGAGGCACGAAAGCGUGGGGAGCAAACAGG
rnacentral:rRNA from 1 species